rnacentral:rRNA from 1 species
UACGAAGGGGGCUAGCGUUGUUCGGAAUUACUGGGCGUAAAGCGCGCGCAGGCGGUCUUCCAAGUCAGUGGUGAAAGCCUGGAGCUCAACUCCAGAACUGCCAUUGAAACUGUUGGACUUGAGUACGAGAGAGGUGAGUGGAAUUCCCAGUGUAGAGGUGAAAUUCGUAGAUAUUGGGAAGAACACCGGUGGCGAAGGCGGCGACCUGGUCCGUUACUGACGCUGAGGCGCGACAGCGUGGGGAGCAAACAGG